GACGAACGCUGGCGGCGUGCUUAACACAUGCAAGUCGAACGGAAAGGCCCUGCUUUUGUGGGGUGCUCGAGGGGCGAACGGGUGAGUAACACGGGAGUAACCUGCCCUUGACUUUGGGAUAACUUCAGGAAACUGGGGCUAAUACCGGAUAGGAGCGCCUGCUGCAUGGUGGGGGUUGGAAAGUUUCGGCGGGUGGGGAUGGACUCGCGGCUUAUCAGCUUGUUGGUGGGGUAGUGGCUUACCAAGGCUUUGACGGGUAGCCGGCCUGAGAGGGUGACCGGCCUCAUUGGGACUGAGAUACGGCCCAGACUCCUACGGGAGGCAGCAGUGGGGAAUAUUGCACAAUGGGCGGAAGCCUGAUGCAGCAACGCCGCGUGCGGGAUGACGGCCUUCGGGUUGUAAACCGCUUUCGCCUGUGACGAAGCGUGAGUGACGGUAAUGGGUAAAGAAGCACCGGCUAACUACGUG
rnacentral:rRNA from 1 species